rnacentral:rRNA from 1 species
GAUUAACGCUGGCGGUAUGCCUAAUACAUGCAAGUCGAACGAAAAUCUUCGGAUUUUAGUGGCGAACGGGUGAGUAAUGUAUGUUUAAUCUACCUUGUAGUUUGGAAUAACCAUUGGAAACGAUGGCCAAUACUGAAUACUAUUUAUAAUGGAAUCUUUGUAAAUUAAAAGGGGCGUUUGCCCCGCUAUAAGAUGAGAACAUAUUACAUUAGCUAGUUGGUAGGGUAAAGGCCUACCAAGGCAAUGAUGUAUAGCCGAGCCGAGAAGUUGAUCGGCCACAAUGGGACUGAGACACGGCCCAUACUCCUACGGGAGGCAGCAGUAGGGAAUUUUUCACAAUGGACGAAAGUCUGAUGAAGCAAUACCGCGUGAGGGAAGACGGUUUUAGGACUGUAAACCUCUGUUAUAAGGGAAGAAUAUGUCGGAGAGGAAAUGCUCCGUGCAGUGACGGUACUUUAUUAGAAAGUCACGGCUAACUAUGUGCCAGCAGCCGCGGUAAUACAUAGGUGGCAAGCGUUAUCCGGAUUUAUUGGGCGUAAAGAGUGCACAGGUGGUUAUAUAAGUUUGAUGUUAAAGACCGAAGCUCAACUUCGGUUCGCAUUGAAAACUGUAUAACUAGAAUGCAGGUGGGAAUAGUGGAAUUCGUGUGUAGCGGUGGAAUGCAUAAAUAUAUCGAGGAACACCAGUGGCGAAGG